AUGAAGAUUGAAAUCCUCCUA
rnacentral:miRNA from 1 species